UACGUAGGGUGCAGGCGUUAAUCGGAAUUACUGGGCGUAAAGCGUGCGCAGGCGGUCUUUUUAAGUCAGAUGUGAAAUCCCCCAGGCUUAACCUGGGAACUGCAUCCGAUACUGGAUGGCUUGAAUCCGGGAGAGGGAUGCGGAAUUCCAGGUGUAGCGGUGAAAUGCGUAGAUAUCUGGAGGAACACCGGUGGCGAAGGCGCAUCCUGGACCGGCAUUGACGCUGAGGAGCGAAAGCCAGGGGAGCAAACGGG
rnacentral:rRNA from 1 species